UCAAAAACCGCUACACAGAAUUAUGUAUCUUAGUGUAGUCUACUUGUGUGCCAAGUUAUAUUGAAAUCAGACUUAAACUGUAGGAGAAGUAGCAUUUUAAAGGAUUUUCACAAAAAUUUCUAUUUUUAGUAACCAUCGCAACACCGUUCAUCGAAAUCAAAAACCGAUACACAGAAUUAUGUAUCUUAGUGUAGUCUACUUGUUUUACUUGUGUGCCAAGUUAUAUUGAAAUCGGACCAAAACUGUAGGAGGAGUAGCAUUUUGAAAAAUUGUUUACAGACAGACGGACGGACGACGGACGCAUUACUAUCGCAUAAGCUCUUCUGGUCUCUGACCAGUAGAGCUAAAAA